UAAGGAAUAUUGGUCAAUGGACGCAAGUCUGAACCAGCCAUGCCGCGUGAAGGAUGAAGGUCCUCUGGAUUGUAAACUUCUUUUAUCUGGGACGAAAACGGGAUUUUUAUCUCAAUUGACGGUACCAGAGGAAUAAGCACCGGCUAACUCCGUGCCAGCAGCCGCGGUAAUACGGAGGGUGCGAGCGUUAUCAGGAUUUACUGGGUUUAAAGGGUGCGUAGGUGGGCUUAUAAGUCAGUGGUGAAAUAUCCGAGCUUAACUUGGAAACCGCCGUUGAUACUAUAGGUCUUGAAUUAUCUGGAGGUAAGCGGAAUAUGUCAUGUAGCGGUGAAAUGCUUAGAUAUGACAUAGAACACCAAUUGCGAAGGCAGCUUACUACAUAUAAAUUGACGCUGAGGCACGAAAGCGUGGGGA
rnacentral:rRNA from 1 species